UACGUAGGGUGCGAGCGUUGUCCGGAAUUAUUGGGCGUAAAGAGCUCGUAGGCGGUCUGUCGCGUCUGCUGUGAAAACUCGGGGCUUAACCCCGGGCCUGCAGUGGGUACGGGCAGACUAGAGUGCGGUAGGGGAGACUGGAAUUCCUGGUGUAGCGGUGAAAUGCGCAGAUAUCAGGAGGAACACCGGUGGCGAAGGCGGGUCUCUGGGCCGUAACUGACGCUGAGACGCGAAAGCGUGGGGAGCGAACAGG
rnacentral:rRNA from 1 species